AUACAGGAGGGUACCC
rnacentral:tRNA from 1 species